AUUAUUCACAGUGAAGGAAGCAAAGGAUUCAUUACAGAUAUCAUUCCUAGUGAUUGAAUUUUGAACAACAAAGCAAAACCAUGUGACAAACAACUUUGGUGUUUUCUUUGCUUGUUGUCCUGGCUUUUAGAGUUGAUUUUAAUAAGGGAUGUCUGUUAUCUGGAGGAACAUGUAUGGAGAACGUGACAUGUUGUCGCAGGUAUUAUAAUAACGCGGUAUUAACUCACGGGAUCAGCUGCAGAGUUGCACGUGAUUUUAAAAACUGUCUCGAGCCACAUACACAGAGAUGCAGCAACAUGCAAUCUUGGAUGGACGAAAACAAUUUUGCCGAUACACUGAUCGAGGCAUUUAAUUGUUAAGCCACAAUUUUUUCUUGCAAACUUCCGAGAUUUGGUAAGCCGACCCACCAUGAAAAUCAAUUCAUAUUCUUCACAUGGCGACACCGCAUGUGUUUGGGGGAAAAGAAUGCCUACUGAUCAGUUUAGACUCAUCCUUGUCAAUUUCAUCCAAUCACGAGGCUUAAAGAAAAUUCAAACUUGCAAGCUUUGUUUUUUAUUCAUCUUUGUAUGAUUUUCGAUGUCAGUAAAUUUUC